CCUUCUCGUCAGACCGGAGCUACUGAGCUACAAAAGCAUAAAAGGAAAAGACAAACUCAACACUCCGAUCCUUUCUCACACAGAAGACACAGGAUUUAUUACGAGCACCAUGGAAAUGAGUGGCCACGAUAACGCUGACACCAUCGUGCCAUGUGCAUAUAUGCUUCGUCAAGUCGGAGACAGACUUGACUCCAGGUACAGCUGCUGCUGGAAACUACUGGAACUACUGUUCUACUACAGCACCGUGACGGACAUUAAAUGAAACACGGCGGCGAGACGCAUGAAGAAUAUGGGAUGUUUCCACGUUGAAUGACAUUCAGACCCAAAGGAGAAGGGUGCUGAGGACGAACGGACUCAUCACUGGUGCUGGAGGGUUGGUUCUCAAACGGGAGCUUCUGGACACACGAUGAUGGGGACGCCAGUGGAAGACCAGGGUCUGUUGGACGACAUCUGACCAGACAGGAAAUGAAACCACAGGCGGAUGUCAACAGAUUCCACACACUUCCGCCGCAUGAAUAUUCAUAUCUGCUAAUGCUUACUUCUGCUGGAUGCCAGAUGAAUAUUCAUAUAUGCUAACUGCUUGAGAAUGAUCUGCAAAUAAUCUAAGAAUUCAACUCACUCAAGAGUAGAAAAUGUUGAAGAAUUCUGUUGAUUAAAGCUCAGUGUGGUUUGUUGGAGUUUGCUACACAGAACUUGUGUUCGAGACACAAGUGGACAAUGGACUUUUCUAGACCUAUCACGCUCUUGCACAGGUGAUAAGCUUUUUGUGUUCAAUAAAUACUGAAGAAGUUUUGGUACUCUGA